rnacentral:rRNA from 1 species
AGCUGAGAAUCUUCCGCAAUGGGCGAAAGCCUGACGGAGCGACACCGCGUGAAUGAAGAAGGCCGAGAGGUUGUAAAGUUCUUUUUUCAUAGAGGAAUAACGUCCUGAGGGAAUGCGGGGCGGAUGACGAGAAGUGAAGAAUAAGCUCCGGCCAAUUACGUGCCAGCAGCCGCGGUAACACGUAAGGAGCGAGCGUUGUUCGGAAUUAUUGGGCGUAAAGGGCCCGCAGGCGGCUUGAGAAGUCUUUCGUGAAAGACCGGGGCUCAACCCCGGGAGUGCGAGGGAAACUGUCAGGCUUUUAGGAUCUCGGAGGGGGUACUGGAAUUCCCGGUGUAGGGGUGGAAUCUGUUGAUAUCGGGAAGAACACCGGAGGCGAAGGCGAGUACCUGGCCGAAGAUUGACGCUGAGGGGCGAAAGCGUAGGGAGCGAA